rnacentral:rRNA from 1 species
AACGAACGCUGGCGGCAGGCUUAACACAUGCAAGUCGAGCGCCCCGCAAGGGGAGCGGCAGACGGGUGAGUAACGCGUGGGAACGUACCCUUUGCUACGGAAUAGCUCCGGGAAACUGGAAUUAAUACCGUAUGUGCCCUGCGGGGGAAAGAUUUAUCGGCAAAGGAUCGGCCCGCGUUGGAUUAGCUAGUUGGUGGGGUAAUGGCCUACCAAGGCGACGAUCCAUAGCUGGUCUGAGAGGAUGAUCAGCCACAUUGGGACUGAGACACGGCCCAAACUCCUACGGGAGGCAGCAGUGGGGAAUAUUGGACAAUGGGCGCAAGCCUGAUCCAGCCAUGCCGCGUGAGUGAUGAAGGCCUUAGGGUUGUAAAGCUCUUUCACCGGAGAAGAUAGUGACGGUAUCCGGAGAAGAAGCCCCGGCUAACUUCGUGCCAGCCGCCGCGGUAAAAC